UGCUGCUGGGGCUUGCUAGCCCUAGGCCUGCCCCUAGGAGGAAGAGCAGCUGAUCCAGUACGUGCAUGACAGGAGCGAGAGACCGGCAAAUAGUUUUGUCCUGAUGGCUAGUGCCUCUGAGAUGGACCGCGAGUGCCAUCCUGUGGCCUUCACUGUCACCAUCCUGCCUGUCAAUGACCAACCCUCCGACCUCACCACAAACUCAGGCCUGCAGCCCCUGCCAGACAUACAUGGAGGGUCUGAAAGGAGACCCCUGCCCCACCAGCGAGACUGAUUAAGGAGCACCGUUGGUCAGCGUUCGGGGUUUCUCGGGGUGAGAACUUGGUGAGGGUAAGAACUGGGGCCUUCCUGGAUAGGGGAGACACAAUGGUCUUGAGGGACACUCAGGACUAGGGCAGAUGGACAGCAGGGAGGCUGGGCCUGGAGGGUGGCCUUCCCUGGGGUGAUAGGGAAGGUGAAUGUGGGGAGGGCCCUUUGUGUAGGGGAGUCAGAGCAGCACCAGCCUUGAUGCCACCUGAGGACCUGAGCUGCAGCGGUGUUGGAGCUCUGGUGGCAGCCCAGGGCUGGGGAGGAAGGGGUGGGUAAGUGUGGCAGGGCAGAACCUUCACAGGCCUGUGUCCCCAGAUGUGGGAGGGUGCCACUGUGCCCAUUCCUACAGAGGCUCUGAGGAGCACAGACAGUUACUCUGGGCCCAAGGACAUGGUCUACACCAUUGAGCAGCCCAGCAACGGGCAGGUAGUCCUGUGGGCAGUGCCGGGCACAGAGCUGCACAGCUUCACGCUGGCCCAGCUGGACGGCAGGCUCAUGCUGUUCUCACAUAGAGGUGGGUGCCGAAGGCCGGGCCCCAGGCUCCUGCUGCCCACAGGGGUGCCCUGAGGUGAGGAGCCAGCUCAGGCCAGCUGGACCCAAUGCCCCUGUCCCCAGGAGUCCUGGACGGAGGCACCCACUUUGGCCUCUCUGAUGGCGAGCACACUUCCUCCAGACACUUCUUCUGAGUGACAGCCCAGAAGCAAGUGCUCCUCUUGCUGGAGGGCAGCCGGACACUGACUGUCUGCCCUGACCACGGAGUUCUCAUCUCGGAGCCACUGGCCAGUGUGUGCUCGUGUGAGGACCAGAACAUACUGAUGGAGGAGUUGGCAGAGCAGGCACAGCCGCGGCGCGAGGAGAUGCUGCGCAUGCACCACAUGCUGAAGGAGGGGCUCAGCAUCAUCCGCGACAUCAACACAACCACCGUCAGCAUGUCCAAGCGCCUGCCCGUGGACGACUCCUGGCUGCAGGUGUAGAGCAUCCCGGACGAACGCAGCAGGUCGCCUAAGUCCAGUCCCAGGAUGCCCAUCCCUGGCUAUGUCCCCAGCCUGGCCUGGGUCGUGGGGCCUGGCUCCUGGGCUUCCUCCUACUGGGUCCGCCCUUGGGGAAGCAUCCUCCGUACCCUCCAGGCCAGAGGCUUCCCCUGAUCCCUUCAGCCCUACCCGCCAAGUGCUCUCGUGCCCCACCCGGGAUCGCCAGGUGAGUAGGGGCUGAAUGCGGAUUGGGACUGGAAUCCAGAGCAUUGGACCUGGCCGCAAGAACUGGCCGUCUCCAGCCAAGAAACUGGGA